GAUGAGGUCAUUGGAUGCUGAAGGGCUGAGCACGCAGGGUACUAGCAGCUUAGUCAUUAUACAGACUUGCUGGGUUGCCAGAUAGCAGCUCAGAGACCGUGCAGAGGCAGUCUUCAUUCAGCUCAGUAAAAAAGAAUUAUGAACAGUGAGUUCCCUCCCUGCCUCCUAUAGAAAUGGUUCAUUAGGAGAGAGCGAACAUAAAUGGAGAGGUCACAAAAGGAAGAGGAGAGCAAGCAGGCACAGAUAUGGGCAGGAUGCAGACCAAUUGGUUGGAUCUAUAUAAGACCGCCUGUGUUCUCUUAAGGAAAGAAAUAGCUGCAGCUGAGGCUAAGCGGGUGACGCAAAUCGGUCUAUGCUAGCCAGAGGCAUUAAGAUUCAGCAGCUAUUAGGAGUCGGAAGAGCGAUAAGGUGGAGAGCGGAUAAGGUGGUGAGCGAUGAAAACGGGUCUCACACGUGGGCGGGGCAUCGAGGACGUGGGAGGAUCCCGCUGCACAUUCGGCUUGGCGCCGUGAUCCGGUGGUCUAGCUGCUGGGCAGACUGUGCAGCGGGUUCUCUCGGGCAGUUCCUCGUGCCACGCCACGGGGGGGUGUUUUGUGGUCAUCCCCCCCGGAAACAUAGAUCCAUGUUCAGUGGAAAUGCGUUGCAUUUAUGUUGAUUGGUGGUGUUGAAAUUGCAAUGAUUGAUUGACGGCUCUCUUAUCUGAUUUUGGCUACAAUGCAAAAUCAGCUUAAAUAAAGUGACCUUUCCAUUUUUUAAUUGGCAAA